rnacentral:rRNA from 1 species
UACAGAGGGGGCGAGCGUUGUUCGGAAUUAUUGGGCGUAAAGAGCUCGUAGGCGGUUUGUCGCGUCUGCUGUGAAAACCCGAGGCUCAACCUCGGGCCUGCAGUGGGUACGGGCAGACUAGAGUGCGGUAGGGGAGAUUGGAAUUCCUGGUGUAGCGGUGGAAUGCGCAGAUAUCAGGAGGAACACCAAUGGCGAAGGCAGAUCUCUGGGCCGUAACUGACGCUGAGGAGCGAAAGCGUGGGGAGCGAACAGG